rnacentral:rRNA from 1 species
GACGAACGCUGGCGGCGUGCUUAACACAUGCAAGUCGAACGGAAAGGCCCUGCUUUUGUUGGGUGCUCGAGUGGCGAACGGGUGAGUAACACGUGAGUAACCUGCCCUUGACUUUGGGAUAACUUCAGGAAACUGGGGCUAAUACCGGAUAGGAGCUCCUGCUGCAUGGUGGGGGUUGGAAAGUUUCGGCGGUUGGGGAUGGACUCGCGGCUUAUCAGCUUGUUGGUGGGGUAGUGGCUUACCAAGGCUUUGACGGGUAGCCGGCCUGAGAGGGUGAACGGCCACAUUGGGACUGAGAUACGGCCCAGACUCCUACGGGAGGCAGCAGUGGGGAAUAUUGCACAAUGGGCGGGAGCCUGAUGCAGCAACGCCGCGUGCGGGAUGACGGGCUUCGGGUUGUAAACCGCUUUCGCCUGUGACGAAGAGUGAGUGACGGUAAUGGGUAAAGAAGCACCGGCUAACUACGUG